rnacentral:tRNA from 1 species
AAAACUUAAGAAAGAAUAUAAUUAUUCUAUUAAUUU